rnacentral:lncRNA from 1 species
AAAAAGCUUCACCUAGAAAGCUCCCUCUACAUACUUUCACCAUCAAAGCUUCACCUAGAAAGCUUCAUCUACAAAGCUUCACCAUCAAAGCUUCACCUACAAAAGCUUCACCCACAAAGCUUCACCUAAAAAGCUUCACCCACAAAGCUUCACCCAAAAAACUUCACCCGAAAAGCUUCACUUAAAAAAGCUUCACCUACACAGCUUCACCUAAAAAAGCUUCACCUAGAAAGCUCCCUCUACAUACUUUCACCAUCAAAGCUUC